rnacentral:rRNA from 1 species
CCAAUAGCGUAUAUUAAAGUUGUUGCAGUUAAAAAGCUCGUAGUUGAAUUUCGGGAUCAGUACGCUGGUCGUGCCUUCGGUAUGAACUGGUGUCACUGGUUCCUCCCUUCUGAAGAACUGUCAUGCCAUUCAGUUGGUGUGGCGGGGAAUCAGGACUGUUACUUUGAAAAAAUUAGAGUGUUUAAAGCAGGCUCGCGCUUGAAUACAUUAGCAUGGAAUAAUGAAAUAGGACGUUUGAUCCUAUUUUGUUGGUUUCUAGGAUCGACGUAAUGAUUAAUAGGGAUAGUUGGGGGCAUUAGUAUUCAAUUGUCAGAGGUGAAAUUCUUGGAUUUAUUGAAGACUAACUACUGCGAAAGCAUUUGCCAAGGAUGUUUUCAUUAAUCAAGAACGAAAGUUAGGGGAUCGAAGACGAUCAGAUACCGUCGUAGUCUUAACCAUAAACUAUGCCGACUAGGGAUCGGAUGAUGUUAAUUUUUUAAUGACUCAUUCGGCGCCUUACG